GCCCCACCGGAGGAGGCCCUCAGUGGAGCAAGAUGGCCUGCUGACCUCUGAGCAACCAAGAGGACGGACAUGCUGCCCUCUCAACUCACUCCGGCACCUUACUUACUGGACACUUUAAACAUGUGCGCUGUGACUCAUUCUAUCAGAUACUGGAUGCUCUCAGCAGGAAACAAGCCAGAAGAACAAGUUCCAUGCUUCGAUGAUGGUCCUGACCUUUCCACAUACAAAUUAAUGGAGCUUUCGAAGCUAGGAGAACCUCAGAGGGAAAAGGAUGACCUGAUCCCAGGAAGCUCAGAGUGAAGGCCCCACGCUGCCCAGGCCUCCGGACUCAGGUGACACGGUGGGUCCAGGGCUUCCUGCUUGACAGCAU
ensembl:lncRNA